CCUACGGGAGGCAGCAGUGGGGAAUAUUGCGCAAUGGGCGAAAGCCUGACGCAGCGACGCCGCGUGGAGGAUGAAGGUUUUAGGAUCGUAAACUCCUGUUAAGUGGGAAGAAAAGUCUGUUUUUAAUAGAGGCAGAUCAUGACGGUACCAUUAGAGAAAGCAUCGGCUAACUUCGUGCCAGCACCCGCGGUAAUA
rnacentral:rRNA from 1 species